rnacentral:lncRNA from 10 species
CAUGGUACUACACAGUGAUGCUGUUUAAAUGAAGAAAUCUACUCUUCUAAAAAAUCUUUGCCACUGAUGCCACAUACAAAUACCGUAUGGACUAGCUCUCAGAGCCAAAGCAGGAAAAAUCGCCAAAGGGUACUAUUACUAUACCCAUUUGGCAGAGGAGGAAACUGAGGAAGAGAGAAGCUAAGACACUAUAGACAAACCUUUAGAAGAACAUUAGCCAGUAAGUGCAAGCUGGAUGACUGAGAAGAGUUGGGAACUGUGGCUAAAGGUACAGAGAGACACAAGCUGUUGUCAUGAGGU